rnacentral:tRNA from 1 species
GCGGACGUGGCGGAACUGGCAGACGCGCUAGUUUCAGGUACUAGUGGUCUUACGAUCGUGGAGGUUCAAGUCCUCUCGUCCGCACCA